CUCCCCAAGACUCAUAGGCAGAGCGGCAGCAGCGAUGUCCCGAGGCCUCCUUGGAGCCUUAUAUGCUGUGGUGGAGUAUGGGGCCCGCCCCCAGGCCCAAGGUGGAAAAAGGGCUUCAGGGGGGAGCGGUCCUCCCCAAGACUCACGGCAGAGCGGCAGCAGCGAUGUCCCGAGGCCUCCUUGGAGCCUUAUAUGCUGUGGUGGAGUAUGGGGCCCGCCCCCAGGCCCAAGGUGGAAAAAGGGCUUCAGGGGGGAGCGGUCCUCCCCACAAACUCAC
rnacentral:lncRNA from 1 species